AGAGUUUGAUCCUGGCUCAGAUUGAACGCUGGCGGCAUGCCUUACACAUGCAAGUCGAACGGUAACGGGCCUUCGGGUGCCGACGAGUGGCGAACGGGUGAGUAAUAUAUCGGAACGUGCCCAGUAGUGGGGGAUAGCCCGGCGAAAGCCGGAUUAAUACCACAUGAGACCUGAGGGUGAAAGCGGGGGAUCGCAAGACCUCGCGCUAUUGGAGCGGCCGAUAUCAGAUUAGCUAGCUGGUGGGGUAAAGGCCUACCAAGGCAACGAUCUGUAGUUGGUCUGAGAGGACGACCAGCCACACUGGGACUGAGACACGGCCCAGACUCCUACGGGAGGCAGCAGUGGGGAAUUUUGGACAAUGGGCGCAAGCCUGAUCCAGCAAUGCCGCGUGCAGGAAGAAGGCCUUCGGGUUGUAAACUGCUUUUGUCAGGGAAGAAAUCUUCUGGGUUAAUACCUCGGGAGGAUGACGGUACCUGAAGAAUAAGCACCGGCUAACUACGUGCCAGCAGCCGCGGUAAUACGUAGGGUGCGAGCGUUAAUCGGAAUUACUGGGCGUAAAGCGUGCGCAGGCGGCUUUGCAAGACAGAUGUGAAAUCCCCGGGCUCAACCUGGGAACUGCAUUUGUGACUGCAAGGCUAGAGUACGGCAGAGGGGGAUGGAAUUCCGCGUGUAGCAGUGAAAUGCGUAGAUAUGCGGAGGAACACCGAUGGCGGAGGCAAUCCCCUGGGCCUGUACUGACGCUCAUGCACGAAAGCGUGGGGAGCAAACAGGAUUAUGUACCCUGGUAGUCC
rnacentral:rRNA from 1 species